GCUGGGCAUGGUGACACAUGCCUGUAAUCCUCUCAACUUGGGAGGCUGAGGCAGGAGGAUCACAAGUUCAAAGCCAGCCUCAG
rnacentral:sRNA from 1 species